rnacentral:rRNA from 1 species
CGCGUAGGCGGCGCGGUAAGUCACUUGUGAAAUCUCUGAGCUUAACUCAGAACGGCCAAGUGAUACUGCAGUGCUAGAGUGCAGAAGGGGCAAUCGGAAUUCUUGGUGUAGCGGUGAAAUGCGUAGAUAUCAAGAGGAACACCUGAGGUGAAGACGGGUUGCUGGGCUGACACUGACGCUGAGGCGCGAAAGCCAGGGGAGCAAACGGGAUUAGAUACCCCGGUAGUCCUGGCCCUAAACGAUGAAUACUUGGUGUCUGGAGUUUCAAUACUCCGGGUGCCGUCGCUAACGUUUUAAGUAUUCCGCCUGGGGAGUACGCUCGCAAGAGUGAA